rnacentral:lncRNA from 1 species
CAAAAUCUCUUCGGGCUCUAAAGUGCAAGCAGAAACACGGUCUCUGAAUUGUGUAGAGAAGAGAAAUGUAAUGAACCCAUCAUGAGAUUAAAGACGAAUCAAAAUUCAUCAGCAACAUUUAGAGAGAAAGAUUAAAAACUCAAGAGAUGAAAACUUGAAUAGAAACCUUGACACUACUUGUGAACUAGCAUUGCUGGGUGACAACAAUGAGUUUCUUGUGGAUUUCUUUCUUCUUGGAUACAAAAUUCAAUGACUUCUUUUUCCUGAGCAAGAAUCAAGAGAACAUAUUUUGUGAAACCAAGAAAUCUUUGAAGGCCUUCUGACAACUUCAAAAUCAGCAUGCUUUUAAACUGUGAUACCACAUCAAUGGAUUUUUCUUUAAGACAGAUUGUGACUGGGAAGAAGAAGAAGAAGAAGAAGAAGAAGGAGAAGAAGAAGAAGAAGAAGAAGAAGAAGAAGAAGAAGAAAAGAAAAAAGAAAAAAAAAGAAGAGAGAGAACUUCAAAGGUUACAGCUAGAAAAGAAAAGGAAAGAAAUGGCAGUGUAAUCAUCAAUCUACUACAUGGCAAGAACACAUUCUUGCUUUCCUCAGAAAAUAUGGCUUUUCAGUUCCAUGGCAAAAUGCUUUCAAGAUUUAAUGAAAGACAAGUCGCUGCCAAAAUAAAUAAUUUUUCCAAAUGGGGACCUGGGGCAGAAAAACUUACUCUAGAGUGCUCCUGUAAUUUCCAGAGUGUUUUGCUUUCUACACAGCACCCUAUUAAACAGAAUUACACAUAG